rnacentral:snRNA from 1 species
GUUCAUUCCUGAACAUAUUCCAAAAUUGGAACAAUACAGAGAAGAUGAGCAUGGCCCAUUCGCAAGGAUGGCACGGAAAUUCGUGAAGCGUUGCAAAAAUUU